rnacentral:rRNA from 1 species
UACGUAGGGUGCGAGCGUUGUCCGGAAUCACUGGGCGUAAAGCGCACGUAGGCGGACUCUUAAGUCGGUGGUGAAAUCCUGGAGCUCAACUCCAGAACUGCCUUCGAUACUGGGAGUCUUGAGUCCGGGAGAGGUGAGUGGAACUGCGAGUGUAGAGGUGAAAUUCGUAGAUAUUCGCAAGAACACCAGUGGCGAAGGCGGCUCACUGGCCCGGUACUGACGCUGAGGUGCGAAAGCGUGGGGAGCAAACAGG